rnacentral:tRNA from 1 species
GCGGACAUAGCUCAGUUGGUAGAGCGCAACCUUGCCAAGGUUGAGGUCGCGAGUUCGAAUCUCGUUGUCCGCUCCA